rnacentral:rRNA from 1 species
AUUGAACGCUAGCGGGAUGCUUUACACAUGCAAGUCGAACGGCAGCGCGGACUUCGGUCUGGCGGCGAGUGGCGAACGGGUGAGUAAUGUAUCGGAACGUGCCCAGUAGCGGGGGAUAACUACGCGAAAGCGUAGCUAAUACCGCAUACGCCCUACGGGGGAAAGCAGGGGAUCGUAAGACCUUGCACUAUUGGAGCGGCCGAUAUCGGAUUAGCUAGUUGGUGAGGUAACGGCUCACCAAGGCGACGAUCCGUAGCUGGUUUGAGAGGACGACCAGCCACACUGGGACUGAGACACGGCCCAGACUCCUACGGGAGGCAGCAGUGGGGAAUUUUGGACAAUGGGGGCAACCCUGAUCCAGCCAUCCCGCGUGUGCGAUGAAGGCCUUCGGGUUGUAAAGCACUUUUGGCAGGAAAGAGACGUCGCGGGCUAAUACCCCGUGGAACUGACGGUACCUGCAGAAUAAGCACCGGCUAACUACGUG